rnacentral:rRNA from 1 species
UACGAAGGGGGCUAGCGUUGCUCGGAAUCACUGGGCGUAAAGGGUGCGUAGGCGGGUCUUUUAGUCAGGGGUGAAAUCCUGGAGCUCAACUCCAGAACUGCCUUUGAUACUGAGGAUCUUGAGUACGGGAGAGGUGAGUGGAACUGCGAGUGUAGAGGUGAAAUUCGUAGAUAUUCGCAAGAACACCAGUGGCGAAGGCGGCUCACUGGCCCGGUACUGACGCUGAGGCACGAAAGCGUGGGGAGCAAACAGG